rnacentral:tRNA from 2 species
GAGAGAGGCUCGCCAGCAACAAAGACUGCUAAUCUUCGCCACCAUGGUUGGACUCCAAGGCUCUGCUCG